UGCUCAGAUGAACGCCGGCGGCAUGCCUACACAUGCAAGUCGACGCAGCGCGGGCUCGGCUGGCGGCGAGUGGCGAACGGGUGAGUAAUACAUCGGAACGUGUCCUGGAGUGGGGGAUAGCCCGGCGAAAGCCGGAUUAAUACCGCAUACGCUCUGCGGAGGAAAGCGGGGGAUCUUCGGACCUCGCGCUCAAGGGGCGGCCGAUGGCAGAUUAGCUAGUUGGUGGGGUAAAGGCCUACCAAGGCGACGAUCUGUAGCUGGUCUGAGAGGACGACCAGCCACACUGGGACUGAGACACGGCCCAGACUCCUACGGGAGGCAGCAGUGGGGAAUUUUGGACAAUGGGGGCAACCCUGAUCCAGCAAUGCCGCGUGUGUGAAGAAGGCCUUCGGGUUGUAAAGCACUUUUGUCCGGAAAGAAAUCCUUUGCCCUAAUACCUUAGGGGGAUGACGGUACCGGAAGAAUAAGCACCGGCUAACUACGUGCCAGCAGCCGCGGUAAUACGUAGGGUGCAAGCGUUAAUCGGAAUUACUGGGCGUAAAGCGUGCGCAGGCGGUCCGCUAAGACCGAUGUGAAAUCCCCGGGCUUAACCUGGGAACUGCAUUGGUGACUGGCGGGCUAGAGUAUGGCAGAGGGGGGUAGAAUUCCACGUGUAGCAGUGAAAUGCGUAGAGAUGUGGAGGAAUACCGAUGGCGAAGGCAGCCCCCUGGGCCAAUACUGACGCUCAUGCACGAAAGCGUGGGGAGCAAACAGGAUUAGAUACCCUGGUAGUCCACGCCCUAAACGAUGUCAACUAGUUGUCGGGUCUUCAUUGACUUGGUAACGUAGCUAACGCGUGAAGUUGACCGCCUGGGGAGUACGGUCGCAAGAUUAAAACUCAAAGGAAUUGACGGGGACCCGCACAAGCGGUGGAUGAUGUGGAUUAAUUCGAUGCAACGCGAAAAACCUUACCUACCCUUGACAUGUACGGAAUCCUGCUGAGAGGUGGGAGUGCCCGAAAGGGAGCCGUAACACAGGUGCUGCAUGGC
rnacentral:rRNA from 2 species